UACGUAGGGGGCAAGCGUUAUCCGGAUUUAUUGGGUGUAAAGGGCGUGUAGGCGGGAGCGCAAGUCAGAUGUGAAAACUCAGGGCUCAACCCUGAGCCUGCAUUUGAAACUGUGUUUCUUGAGUGCUGGAGAGGCAAUCGGAAUUCCGUGUGUAGCGGUGAGAUGCGUAGAUAUACGGAGGAACACCAGUGGCGAAGGCGGAUUGCUGGACAGUAACUGACGCUGAGGCGCGAAAGCGUGGGGAGCAAACAGG
rnacentral:rRNA from 1 species